rnacentral:rRNA from 1 species
GUGCCAGCCGCCGCGGUAAUACGGAGGGUGCAAGCGUUGUCCGGAAUCACUGGGCGUAAAGGGUGCGCAGGCGGGGCAGCAAGUCGGAGGUGAAAGCCCGUGGCUCAACCACGGAAGUGCCUUCGAAACUGUUGCUCUUGAGUCCCGGAGAGGUUGCCGGAAUUCCUGGUGUAGGGGUGAAAUCCGUAGAGAUCAGGAGGAACACCGGCGGCGAAAGCGACUGGCUGGAUCGGGACUGACGCUGAGGCACGAAAGCGUGGGCAGCGAACAGGAUUAGAAACCCCAGUAGUCC